AGAGGAUGCCUUACUUAAUAAGAAUCCACUUCCCCCCAAGCGAAAUAGUUGCACAAAUGAGAAUAAAUCGCCUUCAAAGUUCACGCUCCCUCGUGCUUUCAAAUUCACGAGCGGUCAUUGUUUUCGUUGCCAGUACGCAUGCGUGUGACGAAACAACACUAAAUGCGCAUGCGCAGAUAAGCUAAGACAGAAAUUCAACAUGGCUGAUGCAAAUGAGAUCUCUCAUGCUCGAAUUAGUUCAUGUUUUAUGCAUUUUGAAGGGGUGACCGAGCAACUUUGCCAAGUCUCUCGUCAAAGGCUAAAGAAAUUUAUUGAAUGUAGACAUAAAUGGGCUAAACUUGAUUGUGUACAAGCUGAUAUAGCGAAGAGUUUGUAUAAUAAGUUCGAUGACGACUUCAUGAAUACGUAUUUGGCCGAGAACACCGAAAGCAGCUUUGCUGUCAAAUGGUACCACCAUAUGAGAUGUUACAAGAAAUUUUGCGACGAAGAGAAGAUCCGAAGACAAGAGAGAAGUGAGGAAAAGCGAGCAAAACAAAUUACAGAAACUGUUCCUAUUACUGAAGACUCAUCCAUGGAACCAAUCGAAGAGCCAAGUAGAAAGGUUACGCGUAGUUCUCAAAUAUGUAGUUCAGUUGCUGCCCAAAGUAAGACCUUGCCUCGAAGAAAUCAGUAUGUACUGCCAGAGUGUUGCAUUAUUUGUGGAAGAGAUGCUUCUUGGUUUAGAACAGACAAGGUAUGACCACUUCUUCAUGUUUUCAAUUGAUAAAAAAAAAUCAUACUAUAAAAUGCUGUGCACAUGAUGUAUUAAACUGAGAUCGGUAUUUGACUAUUUUUAAAGUAUGGAAAUUAAGCUAUUGCAGCUAGUUUGUCUAAUACAAAGUAUACAUGUUUAAGCUAUUAUAUCAAGAACCUAUCGCUAUGGGGAACAUGAGAACAUUGGUGAUUGGUUUGUUUAUUUCUUGCUAGUAUAUCAUUAAUAUAAGUAUAAAAUGACAAACAGGCAUUCAAAAUAUUUGCACUUUGUUGUAGAAAACAAAAAAGAGAACAAGAACACCACUUGUAUUGGCAGCAACAAUCGAUGCUGGACUCUUGCGUACUGCUGCUGAGAAGAAAAAUGAUGAGGAGAUACUAAUGCAUAUUAGAGACAAAGACUGUGUUGCAUUGGAGGUCCGCUAUCAUGGAAUUUGCUAUAAUAACUACACCAAAUUCAUAACAAAGCCAGUAAAAGAGACAAACACAUGUGCACCAAUCUAUGAAAAGUCAUACAAAGUAUUCUGCAAAGAUGUCAUUGAGUUGGAAAUCAUCAAAGGAAAAGCAAUAAAGUAUAUGAAGGAGUUACUGAGUAAAUUUAUUGUCAUUGUGAAGGAAACUGAAAAUGUUGAUGCAUCUAAAUACAGGGCUUUCAGCCUCAAGCAACGACUAAUCAAUAGUUACCCUCAACUUGUUUUCUUGAUGCAAAAGUAUAGAACUGUUGGCGAGAUUGUUUAUGCUGAGAACUUGCGUCCAUCUGAUUUUGUUGGGGAACAUAUGUUAAAUAAAUCUAUACAUGAUGAUGAAGACUUUGAUACUAGUUAGUUUUUUGUUACUAGGUACUAGUUUCUUUUAUCUUCAUUAUCGAGACAUCUGUCUUUAUACAUGUAGAUAGGUAAAUCAAUUGAUCUAUGUACAUGUAUAAAGGCAGAUGUCUCGAUAUUGAAGAUAUUAUAGUACCUGUUUCGAAAUAUCAAACACAAACCACCUUUCGACUAACUAGUUCCCAACUUGACCUGUACCUCAGUUGGUAGAUCAUCAAACUGGCAACCGAAUGUCGCGGGUUCGAUUCCCAGCCAGCCCAAGUAAAGCUUGGAAAGCACUAAUGGCCAUACAGUGAAUCACCUUUAGUCUGAUACACCUGCCCUACUCUAAUACUAAUUCCAACCCUAACCCUAAAAAGGUUAUUCACUGUAUGGCUAUCAGUGUUUUACGUAGAGCUUAUCUCUACUUGUCGAGUAGGGGGGGGGGACUUUAAUGGGUUAGAAAUGGCUGGGAUGGUGUGAAACAUUGAGCAAUUUCACAUCCAUGAAAUGUCCCAAGUUGUCACCAUUUCUAACCACACCCUUUUUUCCGAAUGGAAAAGCGAUGAAGGCGAGUGUUUGGCGCCUUAAAACCAAAUUGCUCGACAGUCUUCCCAUUGUAAGGGAAGUAUGGUAAGGCUGUCCAUGUUCCGAAUCAGUUUGUCAUGACUUGUGGUAUUAUCUGUUUUCUAGACAUGCUGAUGAGCCCUGAUAUGGGGCGAAACAGUCAUUUUAACAUCUCGGCAUAUAAAAGCAUAAUAAUAUAAUCUCAUAGUCAUACAUCGUGUUAAGCUGGGUUUUUUCAAACUUUCCCUUUUUUAUGAGUAUGGUUGUCUUGGAAGUAAGAAGUCUCCAUGGUGGAUAGUGGACUGGCGAAAAGGCGUUCCUGAUACUUGGUAAACUAAAGAUGAAUCUGCAUGGAGAAAUGCGCGUUACAGUUUUCAUGAUAAGCAACACAUCACAAAGUUCUAGUCAGCGCGGUUUAAUUACUUUAAUAUAUUGUUUUGUUUUCUCAAGACCUUUUAACAGUUUUGUGAUAUGAUUAAUUGUAAGAAGUUGACAAAGUAAAAAAGUAAUUGUAAAAAUAAUUGUAAAAAGUAAUUGGACAUUAUUAACAGUUUUCUGAGCAUUUUAUUAUUUUUGGUAGUUGUGUAUACUUGUUUUAAAAUAUGAUUGCGAGCAUCGUGUAGUGUAUAUAUCAUCCUAUAUCUUAUUACAUUAUUCUUGAAAUGUUAGUCUUUGAUUUGUAAUAUAAUGUUCUCGGGAGGGUAUACACUAUAUAACUCUAAAUAGCUCUAAAUAUUUGUGUAUCAUUCAAAUGUACAAACCAUGAAGACCUGCUAUUUUUCAAAACGCUGCCGAUUUCACCUUUUCUUAUUUAGG
rnacentral:lncRNA from 1 species